rnacentral:rRNA from 1 species
CGAUAGCGUAUAUUAAAGUUGUUGCGGUUAAAACGCUCGUAGUUGGAUAUCAGCUAAGGAGUUCCGGUCCUUCCCAGUGAAGAAUACGCGGAACUUUUCUUGGCAUUUGUUCAGGGAAGGUGUUUGCACUUUAUUGUGCGUCACGUGAUCUGAAUUUUUACUUUGAGGAAAUGAGAGUGUUUCAAGCAGGCAUUUGCCGUGAAUAUGAUAGCAUGGAAUAAUAGCAUAGGACCCCUUUCCAAAGCUGUUGGUUUUUGGAAUGAGGUAAUCAGAAUAAGGAUAGUUGGGGGUAUUCGUAUUUAUCUGUCAGAGGUGAAAUUCUUGGAUUUUUUAAGGACGGACUAUUGCGAAGGCAUCUGCCCAGGAUGUUUUUGUUGAUCAAGAACGAAAGUUAGGGGAUCGAAGACGAUUAGAUACCGU